UACGUAGGGGGCCAGCGUUGUCCGGACUUACUGGGCGUAAAGCGUGCGCAGGCGGUUUUGUAAGUCUGUCGUGAAAUCCCCCGGGCUCAACCUGGGAAUUGCGAUGGAGACUGCAAGGCUAGAAUCUGGCAGAGGGGGGUAGAAUUCCACGUGUAGCAGUGAAAUGCGUAGAGAUGUGGAGGAACACCGAUGGCGAAGGCAGCCCCCUGGGUCAAGAUUGACGCUCAUGCACGAAAGCGUGGGGAGCAAACAGG
rnacentral:rRNA from 1 species